rnacentral:rRNA from 1 species
AUUGAACGCUGGCGGCAUGCCUUACACAUGCAAGUCGAACGGUAACGGGCCUUCGGGUGCCGACGAGUGGCGAACGGGUGAGUAAUACAUCGGAACGUGCCCGAUCGUGGGGGAUAACGAGGCGAAAGCUUUGCUAAUACCGCAUACGAUCUACGGAUGAAAGCAGGGGACCGCAAGGCCUUGCGCGGACGGAGCGGCCGAUGGCAGAUUAGGUAGUUGGUGGGAUAAAAGCUUACCAAGCCGACGAUCUGUAGCUGGUCUGAGAGGAUGAUCAGCCACACUGGGAUUGAGACACGGCCCAGACUCCUACGGGAGGCAGCAGUGGGGAAUUUUGGACAAUGGGCGCAAGCCUGAUCCAGCCAUGCCGCGUGCAGGAUGAAGGCCUUCGGGUUGUAAACUGCUUUUGUACGGAACGAAAAGCCUUCUUUUAAUACAGGAGGGUCAUGACGGUACCGUAAGAAUAAGCACCGGCUAACUACGUG